CAGCAGCAGCCGCGGUAACACGGAGGGUGCAAGCGUUAAUCGGAAUUACUGGGCGUAAAGCGCACGCAGGCGGUCUGACAAGUCAGAUGUGAAAUCCCCGGGCUUAACCUGGGAACUGCAUUUGAAACUGUCAGGCUGGAGUCUUGUAGAGGGGGGUGGAAUUCCAGGUGUAGCGGUGAAAUGCGUAGAGAUCUGGAGGAAUACCGGUGGCGAAGGCGGCCCCCUGGACAAAGACUGACGCUCAGGUGCGAAAGCGUGGGGAGCAAACAGGAUUAGAUACCCCGGUAGUCCCUGUCUCUUAUAC
rnacentral:rRNA from 1 species